rnacentral:rRNA from 1 species
UGUGAUCCUGGCUCAGGACGAACGCUGGCGGCGUGCCUAACACAUGCAAGUCGAGCGGGGAGARAWAUUCGUAUUUCUCUUUAGCGGCGGACGGGUGAGUAACACGUGGGUAACCUGCCUCAAAGUGGGGGAUAGCCUUCCGAAAGGAAGAUUAAUACCGCAUAAUAUCAUGGCGCUGCAUGGCGCAGUGAUUAAAGGAGCAAUCCGCUUUGAGAUGGACCCGCGGCGCAUUAGCUAGUUGGUGAGGUAACGGCCCACCAAGGCGACGAUGCGUAGCCGACCUGAGAGGGUGAUCGGCCACAUUGGAACUGAGACACGGUCCAGACUCCUACGGGAGGCAGCAGUGGGGAAUAUUGCACAAUGGGGGAAACCCUGAUGCAGCAACGCCGCGUGAGUGAUGAAGGCCUUCGGGUCGUAAAGCUCUUUGAUCAGGGACGAUAAUGACGGUACCUGAAAAACAAGCCACGGCUAACU